CCUACGGGGGGCAGCAGUGAGGAAUAUUGGUCAAUGGCCGUAAGGCUGAACCAGCAAAGUAGCGUGAGGGAAGAAUGCCCUAUGGGUUGUAAACCUCUUUUAUGCGGGGAUGAAGGUGUCCAUGUGUGGAUGUUUGCAGGUUCCGAAUGAAUUAGGACCGGCUAAGUCCGUGCCAGCAGCCGCGGUACGACGGAGGGUCCGGGCGUUAUCCGGAUUUAUUGGGUUUAAAGGGAGCGUAGGCCGGUCUUUAGGCGUGCCGUGAAAUUUUGUGGCUCAACCAUGAGAGUGCGGCGCGAACUGGAGACCUUGAGUGCGCGGAAGGCAGGCGGAAUUCGUGGUGUAGCGGUGAAAUGCUUAGAGAUCACGAAGAACCCCGAUUGCGAAGGCAGCCUGCUGCAGCGUUACUGACGCUGAAGCUCGAAAGCGCGGGUAUCGAACAGGAUUAGAUACCCGUGUAGUC
rnacentral:rRNA from 1 species